CAUCUGAAAGAGAUUAAAGAUUUAUCGGUGAUGGAUGGGGAUGCGUCUGAUUAGCUUGUUGGCGGGGUAACGGCCCACCAAGGCGACGAUCAGUAGGGGUUCUGAGAGGAAGGUCCCCCACAUUGGAACUGAGACACGGUCCAAACUCCUACGGGAGGCAGCAGUGAGGAAUAUUGGUCAAUGGACGAGAGUCUGAACCAGCCAAGUAGCGUGCAGGAUGACGGCCCUAUGGGUUGUAAACUGCUUUUAUAAGGGAAUAAAGUGAGCCUCGUGAGGCUUUUUGCAUGUACCUUAUGAAUAAGGACCGGCUAAUUCCGUGCCAGCAGCCGCGGUAAUACGGAAGGUCCGGGCGUUAUCCGGAUUUAUUGGGUUUAAAGGGAGCGUAGGCCGGAGAUUAAGCGUGUUGUGAAAUGUAGACGCUCAACGUCUGCACUGCAGCGCGAACUGGUUUCCUUGAGUACGCACAAAGUGGGCGGAAUUCGUGGUGUAGCGGUGAAAUGCUUAGAUAUCACGAAGAACUCCGAUUGCGAAGGCAGCUCACUGGAGCGCAACUGACGCUGAAGCUCGAAAGUGCGGGUAUCGAACAGGAUUAGAUACCCUGGUAGUCCGCACGGUAAACGAUGGAUGCCCGCUGUUGGUCUGAAUAGGUCAGCGGCCAAGCGAAAGCAUUAAGCAUCCCACCUGGGGAGUA
rnacentral:rRNA from 1 species